GACCCGGUAUCCUGCCUCUGCUCCCGCUGUGCCUGCCCAACCUGCGGGCCCCUCCAACCCACUGAGCCUCACCUGAGUCUUUAGUCCUGAACUUGUUCUCAGAGGAAAUGUCCCAGGAAACAUCUGAGAUGAAUUGCCAUAUUGGAGUUAUACUGACUGUGAUGGUGCACAAGGCAAUCUUCCUCCACUGAACUUCAAAGACUGAAAACUAUAGCCUUUCUCCCUGACAGGGGGAAAGAGCACUAUAAAGACAAAGACUCCUGGACCAGGCAUUUAGCUCAGUGGCUCUGCUGCCUGCUUCGCAAGCGCAAGGACCUGAGUUCGAUCACUGGCACCAAAAAAAGAAAAAAGAAAAAAAAAAAAAAGAAGACAAGGACUCCUUAGGGAGCAAAGGUGAAACGUUUAGGUUCCAGGGGUUUUGAGUGGCCUGUUGGGGGUCUGAUCUGUUUUAUCUUAGAUUCUCUUGUCUUCUCCUUGUUGAAUACAAGAUGGCUCCUGUGGCAUCAAGUCCUCACCCAAACAGGAAGGGGAGGACUUUUUUUUAACUAUGAAAUAAAAUAAUUCUCACCAUAAUUUAACUGACUUCUCUUACCUAUUACAAGCCAGAGAAGCUAAGGAGAGAUAUGAUCCAAAAACCUAGCAAAGAAGGUUAGGAUGGCCAUGACUAGCUUAGACAAUCAUGGUUCCUCUCCAGGGGGUGGACAUACUACUGCCCCUAUUCAAAACCAAGAAAGAGAACUGAAAAUGGCUGUUAUGCAGUCGGCUGCAAACCUCCUUCAUUUUUCUGGGGUUAAAAUGCAGAAUAUUGGGUUUGAGCUUAUAGCUAAGUGGUACAGCCUUGCUUAGUUAAAAAAAAAAAAAAAAAGAACUUUGAAAGGAAACAAGCCUUUUCUUGGCCUUGAAUCUUGAGCAUAUCUCUUCACCUCACUCCCAAUUUUACUUUCACUAUUUGGAAUAAGAUCACUUUAGCUUAAGGUUAUCUGAUAAGAAUUCCUAAAACUAUUUUCUACGCAGGGACAGUUAUGUUCCAUUUUCCAUUUCCAUUGCAUUUUUGCUUAGAAGAGCUCAAAAUGUUAUCCCAUUCUCCUUGGAAAGGUUCUUUGCAUUUACAGAUAUUCAAGAUAAUCUGUGACCUUUUAGAGAAGACAAUAAGCCAUUAGAGAAUUAUAAAUAGCCUUGCCUAAAUUGUUGCUACUUGUGUUCUGCUGUUUUGUUUUAGAUUUCUUUGUGUCCAGAGUUACAUAAAACUGUGGUGCAACCAAUAUAAUACAGGCAUACUGAAGUGGUUUUAAAAAGAUAAUAGAGAAGAGUAGGCAUAGAUAGAAAUACACAAAUCUGUGGGUGUUUAGAAUGAGCGUGAAGGGCAGAAUUUGAUAAAACACAAA